AAGAACUUAUUCAACACUGAAAUAAACUCACAAUUUAAAAGUUUUUGAAUUUUUAAAACAUUUUUGAGUUUUUGUAUAAAUUUGUAGAAAUUAAUGAUUAGGUUAUGAAAUAGAUAAUUUAUACAUGUUUGAUAGUUAUACAUAAUGAGAAACAUGUUUGAUAGGUAGUUUUAUUGAUCAGUGUACUAUUUUUGCGAUUUUAGGGGACUGCAUUACAACCAUUGACGUUGGUGCGAGUUGUAGAAAAUUUCGGAGAUGCAUCUCCUGAAUUUGCCGAAAUUUUAAUUUUCAAAAAUCGGCGAUGCAUCUCCGGGGUUUUUCAGUUUGCAUUUUUUCUUUGUUUUUUUUCUUGUACUCAUUGGGUAACAAUUGUGUGGUUUACUUACAUGCAUUACGGAUGAUAGGAAAAAUCGAUUGAGACUCCAGUUACCUAUAGUCUGGUUGACACAUAGGUGUUGGCUUCUAGGGCUCAUGUAUCUCCAUUUUCUUCUUCCUGUAGGAGACCAGUGUCACCUACUCAUGCAUCCCUGCCUCCAUCUUUCGGUAGGCGAUAUGUUUCAUCUAUUUAGGCAUUUGAGGCAGUAGAGAUACCCGAGUCACUAGAGGUACCUCAGACACUAGAGGUAUCUGAGGCACAGGCACAUGAUGCAUCAUAGAUACUUGAGGCACCCUAGGCCCAAAAGGAAGCAGAGGCACCGUUGGGGUUUAGAUGAGACUCGUUAGACUUGCCAUUGUUGCCUCUUUAUCCAGACCAUAUUGCCAAACACGUAUGGGAUGAAUAGGACUGUCAUCUGCUAAAAUUUAUCAACCAUAUGCCGAAGAUAACUGGCUUGUAGCAGCCUAAUCAGUAGUGGUUUCAGGAUGUUUUGCAGCUAUCUGGGAUGAGAGACUUGUGCAAAAUUGGUUAUGGUAUGUUUAAUCAUGAUAUGCUUAAUGAGUUCGUAGAUAGAUGACAUACAUAGACGUUACCAUUUCAUCUACCACAUGGUGAGAUAUCUAUCACACUGGAGAAUAUAUCGCGUCUACUGCAUUUUUCAGUUAGGGGGGAACUUUUAGAUAAUGGGAAGGUUAAUAGAGAUAAUGCAUUGGAGUUGAUGGUAGACCAUCUGAGAGUUGUCCCAUAGGCUGCCAUGAGGGAGAUCGAAGCCACCCGAAAGGCUCAGGCUAGGUUUCGAUUCCUGGAGAAGGUGUAUACAGAUGAGCUACUUAGAGCAGAGCAUACUACUGGUGAUGAUGAACAAGUUGUACAACAUAUAGCAUACGCAAUGAGAGAACACCUGUUGUAUUUGAUUGACACUAUCAUUUUUGUGGACAAGAGUUCCACUUACGUGGAUGUCAUUUACCUGUGAUACUUCAAUGACUUUGAACGGAUCCAUGAGUACAACUAGGGGCUCGCUUGUUUGGUAUACUUGUACUCUAAGUUAUCCGAAGACUGUAUGUGGAAGAAGAAACAAGUGACAUGAAACAUCAUACCGUUGAUGGCUUAGAUCCUCCACGCAUCUCCGACUAUUCAUAUGUACCAAUCUAUACUGAGGAUAUGCCACGUGCUUCUACAUUCACCCCCCUCAGAAGGAACCAAACUACAAAGCCAUUAAAAGUGUAUCUUGACCGCUUGGUAGCAGAGGAUAUACAAUUCCAUUAUUACGUCGAUCACCGUGAGUCGCGUUCCUUUGACAGCAUAGUCUUAUACUCGGGAUGGUUUGCUUGCGAUUCACAUCAGACAUUUCCUCAUUUACCUGAGUGCAUCAUGCGUCAAUUUCACUACAUACAAUACAUUUCUACAAACCCUUUUGUGUUUGCUCCUUCUGCGAUGACACAUAGAGAUAUGUAUGUUAUAUUUGAUGAUUAUCUUAAUCAUAUGGUAUCGUAGGAGGCAUAAAGUACCAUAGCUGAGAGCAACUGGAGCUACACAGAUGGUUACAUCUGGUGGUUCUUCACAGUGUCACAUCCUUAUAUGGUACAAAAUGCUCCAGGAGAUCCACCGAGACCAUCUCAUAAGGAAAUAUCAAAGGAGGAGCAUGCUAGGACAUAUCAUGUUAUUGAUGUGUUGCCUAGAUGUCGUCGUAUCAAGGAGAUUGGACAUGUGGAUAUCGAUAGAGAACUCUUUUCGGGUGGCUCAGAGGCAAUGGGCAUUAUAGAUGCCAUGAUGGGGAGGCACGUGAGGCACUACAAUAUAUGAGGCAACGUCAGAACAAGGGGUCCGAGGCUGAGUCCAAGGCCGUCAUACACAUGAGUUUAUAAUAUUUGUACUUUGAGUUUA